UACGUAGGGUACGAGCGUUACCCGGAAUUAUUGGGCGUAAAGAGCUCGUAGGCGGUUUGUCGCGUCUGUCGUGAAAGUCCGGGGCUUAACCCCGGAUCUGCGGUGGGUACGGGCAGACUAGAGUGCAGUAGGGGAGACUGGAAUUCCUGGUGUAGCGGUGGAAUGCGCAGAUAUCAGGAGGAACACCGAUGGCGAAGGCAGGUCUCUGGGCUGUAACUGACGCUGAGGAGCGAAAGCAUGGGGAGCGAACAGG
rnacentral:rRNA from 1 species